CUCGACCCCAUGAAGUCGGAAUCGCUAGUAAUCGUGAAUCAGAAUGUCGCGGUGAAUACGUUCCCGGGCCUUGUACACACCGCCCGUCACACCAUGGGAGUUGGUUCUACCCGAAGCUGGUGCGCUAACCUUUUAGGAGGCAGCCAACCACGGUAGGAUUAGCGACUGGGGUGAAGUCGAAACAAGGUAGCCGUAGGGGAACCUGCGGCUGGAUCACCUCCUU
rnacentral:rRNA from 1 species